UAACUAUCCCAGUUUUCGUUUCGGGCGU
rnacentral:piRNA from 1 species